rnacentral:rRNA from 1 species
GACGAACGCUGGCGGCGUGCUUAACACAUGCAAGUCGAACGGAAAGGCCCUGCUUUUGUGGGGUGCUCGAGUGGCGAACGGGUGAGUAACACGUGAGUAACCUGCCCUUGACUUUGGGAUAACUUCAGGAAACUGGGGCUAAUACCGGAUAGGAGCUCCUGCUGCAUGGUGGGGGUUGGAAAGUUUCGGCGGUUGGGGAUGGACUCGCGCCUUAUCAGCUUGUUGGUUGGGUAGUGGCUUACCAAGGCUUUGACGGGUAGCCGGCCUGAGAGGGUGACCGGACACAUUGGGACUGAGAUACGGCCCAGACUCCUACGGGAGGGAGCAGUGUGGAAGAUUGCACAAUGGGCGGAAGCCUGGUGCAGCAACGCCGCGUGCGGGAUGACGGCAUUCGGGUUGUAAACCACUUUCGCCUGUGACGAAGCGUGAGUGACGGUAAUGGGUAAAGAAGCACCGGCUAACUACGUG